rnacentral:rRNA from 1 species
GUGGGGAAUAUUGGGCAAUGGGGGCAACCCUGACCCAGCGACGCCGCGUGGGUGAAGAAAUCCCUCGGGAUGUAAAGCCCUGUUGUAUGGGAAGAGCAGAAGACGGUACCAUACGAGGAAGCCCCGGCAAACUACGUGCCAGCAGCCGCGGUAAUACGUAGGGGGCAAGCGUUGUCCGGAAUUACUGGGCGUAAAGCGCACGCAGGCUGAAUUAUAAGUCGGUAGUCAAAUACGGAGGCUCAACUUCCGGAUAUCUAUCGAUACUGUAAAUCUAGAGUAUGUGAGAGGGAAGCGGAAUUCCUGGUGUAGCGGUGAAAUGCGUAGAUAUCGGGAGGAACACCAGUGGCGAAGGCGGCUUCCUGGCACAAUACUGACGCUCAUGUGCGAAAGCUAGGGCAGCGAACGGGAUUAGAAACCCUAGUAGUCC